UUAACUCAGUCGAGUCUCUGCAGCAGGUCAUAAAUUAAAUAUGAAAUAAAGUAAAAAAAAAACAUCCGUGCACAAUGCACACACACAAUAUAAAGAACUUUGUGGAAUUACUGCUGAGUUCUUGUAGUUGCUGUUAUAUCAACUGAGAUGAAACAAAAAAUCCUCACUAAGUUUUUUCUUCAAUAAGGCAAUUAAAAGCUUAAGGCAGGAAGCUUUGUCCAGUUCUUUGGGCACAGCACCGGUCAUUCAGGUGACCUGAAUUAUGUUCCCGAGUUGCCCAGUCAUGUGCCACUGUACGUGGGAUGCGUAACUAUUUUUCUGUUUUAUCUUGUAAUACUUCCUAGUCUCUCACUGGUUUUUGGUACCUGUCAUCCAUUGUAAUGGAGAUGGCAGUCCUCUACAGAUUUUAUUUACCACAUUGCAACAAAAAAUGACCAGACCGUGGUACACAGGGAUGCCUCUUCAGUUAGAUCCCAGAGAAAUAAAAUAGACCAGGUCAAGUAUAAAUAAGAGGAGACCACACAAAGGAUGAUUAAGUGACUUGCCAAAAAUUCACACUACAGAACAGCAAACUGAACUGCAAUGCAGCAUAAAAAAGGCAAAGAAUUGCCUGAAGACAAAGAGCGGGAGAAUCUUUUUCCAUUUAGAGGAAUUCCAAGCUGGCACCAGUGGAUGUGAAUUCAAAAAAACUUUGGAGGAUGUUUUGAAAUACCAAGCUAUGUAUUUUCUGGCUGAAGUAAAUAAAGAUGGCAAUCAGGUAUUAGUGAACGUCAGAGACAGUCUGAGUGAAUUCUGGAAGAAAUUAACUCAUUUAAUUAUGAUGAUCAAGAGAGCCUUCUUAUUUG